CAUUGGUGUAGAGGUUGGGUGAGAACGGGACGUUUUGCUUCAUUAUCAAGAAGUUGACAGGGAUCAGUCGAGUGAGCAUCUCCGACACGGCAAUAACUCCAUAUUUCGUCGUAAUAACAGUUUGCAAUCAUGGUUAAUUAUGGCAUUGUGUUGCUGUUGGGUGUUGUAUCGUUGAUGUCGACCACGAGAGAAAAUCUUUCAAAAGGAAAGAGAAAAGGCAACAUAAGUCAAUCGAGUGAGCAUCUCCGACCUGGCAACAACUGGAUUCUUCGUCGUAUUACUAGGUCGCAAUCACGGUUAACUAUGCCGUCAUGCUGCUAUUGGUUGUUCUAUCGUCGAUGGCUGGGUCGACCACUGGUGUACCGACGUCUCCUGAAUAAGGCGGAUAUCAAACAGCAACGCCACCGCCUUACUACGCAACAAUAUACGCAACGACCAGAUACUACACCGAGGUUGCACUGUUGGGUUUACAGUUAAACCACCAAGGAUCCAGAUGAUUUCACCACAACUUGUGCUGCUCCUCGAGCUACACUACCAAAGCGCUAGAGUACUACACCGAGGCACCUACUGAGACUACGCAACUACGUAUGCUGCCCCAACCUACGACACCGAGGCUCCAGCUUAUUACAUCACCAAAGCUGUCGAAUUCUACACUGGAGCGCCAAAGUACGACAGAAAUCAGUCAAGUGAGCUUCUCCGACACCCAACACGGCAACCCCGAAGUUUCGAAUAAACUUCGUUUCAAACAGUGGCAAAAAGUGAAGACGAAUUCGACUGCAAUCGCGUCGAAUUGAAUAGCAAAGAUAACAUAUUCGUACGUGUACACCGCGCCGUUAAACUUGACAUUGUCGGUCGGCAAGCCGCACUUGACGAUGGCCGUACCAUCACCUACGACAAGUGCGUUAUUGCCACAGGUGUUAAACGAAAAUCUCUUCCAAUCCCUGAGCGGUGCCCUUAAAGAUGCCCACGAGCACGUAGCGCUGUUCCGCAACAUCGAUGGCGGUAACAUAGGUCGAGUUCCCCGUUCUCCUAAAUAUUUGAGCCAAUGGACAACCGAGAAGGUGAAAGCGGAAAGUGUUAAUGGUUUGCUCAAAGCUAAUGUGGAGGGUGCAAUUUUCGAAGACUACAAGGUCGCAUUGACCUUAAACAAUGGUCAAAAGCAGAUUUAAACUGACCAUGUCGUCGCUGCUGUCGGUUGGGACGUAAACACGGAUUUGGCUGUUGCUUUUGGUUUGGAAAUAGAAGAGAGGAGAUUUUGGUGGUUAUCGAGUGAAUACCGAGCUUGAAGCACGAUCGAACGUUUGGUUGGCUGGAGAUGUUACGUUCUUUUGUGAUAUCAAAUUGGGUCGCUGGUGUAUGGAACAUGAUCACCAUGCUGUUGCAUCAGGGCGAUUGGCUGGAGAGAACAAUACUGGCAAAGAAACAAGGAUAAAAAAUUGCAGUGCACUGUUAACAAGUGCAUUCUUCGUCGUAAUAUCAGUACGCAAUCGGUUGAUUGUGAUGUCGUGAUGUCGCCGUUUGCCGUAUCGUUGAAGGCUGGGUCGAUCACUGGUGUACCGAUGUCUCCUGGGUAUGGCGGAUACCAAAGCACCACGCCGCCGCCUUGCUACACAACGACAACAUUCGCAAGAACCGGUUACUACACUGAGGCACACUAUUACUACACCACCAAGGCUCCAGAGUAUUACACCGAAGCUGAUGCUGCCCCGAGUUACAACAUCAAACGUACUACACCGAAGCUCCCAAGUACUAAAACCACCAAGUCACCAGAGUAUUACACGUAUGUUGCCCCAGCUUGCUGCAUCGAGGCUCCCAAGUAUUACCUAGUUCCUAGCUACUACACCGAGGCUCCAAAUUAUUACACCACCAAAGCGGCUGAAUACUACACCGAGCCGCCCAAGUACUACACCAACAAGGCUCCCACCACAACUU
rnacentral:misc_RNA from 1 species